ensembl:miRNA
CGUCCAGCCCGUCCUCCUGCAUGUUGCAGGAGAAGGCUCUGAAAGCAUGCAUCAGCGGACUGGCGCA